CCUACGGGCGGCAGCAGUGAGGAAUAUUGGUCAAUGGACGCAAGUCUGAACCAGCCAUGCCGCGUGCAGGAAGACGGCUCUAUGAGUUGUAAACUGCUUUUGUACGAGGGUAAACGCCGAUACGUGUAUCCGUCUGAAAGUAUCGUACGAAUAAGGAUCGGCUAACUCCGUGCCAGCAGCCGCGGUAAUACGGAGGAUUCAAGCGUUAUCCGGAUUUAUUGGGGUUAAAGGGGGCGUAGGCGGUCGGCUAAGUUAGAGGUGAAAUCCCGGGGCUCAACUGCGGAAUUGCCUCUGAUACUGUUCGGCUAGAGCGUAGUUGCGGUAGGCGGAAUGUCUGGUGUAGCGGUGAAAUGCUUAGAGAUCAUACAGAACACCGAUUGCGAAGGCAGCUUACCAAGCUACUUCUGACGUUGAGGCACGAAAGCGUGGGGAGCAAACAGGAUUAGAUACCCUUGUAGUC
rnacentral:rRNA from 1 species